UGGGCACAUUAAAAAAAAAAAAAGGAGCUAUGAAAACAAAUACCAUUCAAAUAAUUAGGAUCUUAUGCCUGAGGCCAGCCUUGAUGCCAAGCAGGGACUUCCCUGCAGGAAUCGGAGCUGAGCCUGAUCCCAAAAGGAAGAAUCUGGACACCAUAAUCACCAGCAAAAUUUAAAAACGAGAGCAUGGAGAAAAGGAGAGAGGACGAGAAAGACAGAGAAAAAAGAAUAAAGAAACUAAUUAAAAUCUAUGGAUUUUCUGGAGCUAAUUUGA
rnacentral:lncRNA from 1 species